GACGAACGCUGGCGGCGUGCUUAACACAUGCAAGUCGAGCGGUAAGGCCCUUUCGGGGGUACACGAGCGGCGAACGGGUGAGUAACACGUGGGUGACCUGCCCUUAGCUCUGGGAUAAGCCUGGGAAACUGGGUCUAAUACCGGAUAUGACUCCAUGACGCAUGUUGUGGGGUGGAAAGCCUUGUGCGGCUAGGGAUGGGCCCGCGGCCUAUCAGCUUGUUGGUGGGGUGAUGGCCUACCAAGGCGACGACGGUAGCCGGCCUGAGAGGCGACCGGCCACACUGGGACUGAGACACGGCCCAGACUCCUACGGGAGGCAGCAGUGGGGAAUCUUGCGCAAUGGGCGAAAGCCUGACGCAGCGACGCCGCGUGGGGAUGACGGCCUCGG
rnacentral:rRNA from 1 species